CGGAUUGUAGUCUGCAACCCGACUACAUGAAGCCGGAAUCGCUAGUAAUCGCGGAUCAGAAUGCCGCGGUGAAUACGUUCCCGGGUCUUGUACACACCGCCCGUCACACCAUGGGAGUUGGAAAUGCCCGAAGUCAGUGGCCCAACCGGAAGGGGGAGCUGCCGAAGGCAGGUUCGAUGACUGGGGUGAAGUCGUAACAAGGUAGC
rnacentral:rRNA from 1 species